rnacentral:lncRNA from 1 species
CCGGCCCCCGCCGGGACCCCGCCGAGCGGCAGAAUGACUUGGGAUAUAAAUAAACUAAAUAUAUCCUGUUUGAAUAAUAAGUGGAAGACAGCUUGAUGAAUUGGACAAGCACUUGGCUCCAUACCUAGGAUACAGCAGUUCCUCCAUCAAUAUACAAAAGAAUAAGAUUCAGAGAGAAAUGCAGAGGCCAGAGAUGGGGAACCACACAGCCCCAGGAGCCUCCGUUUCUGCCUGCUGGGUUCCAGCCCUGAAGAAGCUCAGCUGUCCACUGUCCAUGGAGGCACAGACACGUCAUUUAAAUUCCUUUACUUAAGGUGGCAUGAGGUCCUUUUUCUUUCUGGAGAGCUGGAAAUUUGCUUUUUCCCUCUUCAAAAGAAAGGCUGCAGCGAGCCUCAUGGGCUGGGUGUGGUGGCUUAUGCCUGUAAUCCCAGCACUUUGUGGGGCUAAAGCAGGAGGAUCA